UUAUCAAGCUUUGAUCCAGAGUACCACGAGACACGUGAAACCUUGUGGGAAGCAGGGAGGACCACCUCCCAAGGCUAAAUACUACCUGAUGACCGAUAGUGAAGCAGUACCGUGAGGGAAAGGUGAAAAGAACCCCGGGAGGGGAGUGAAAUAGAACCUGAAACCGUGUGCCUACAACCGGUCAAAGCCCCAAAUGAGGGUGAUGCCGUGCUUUUUGUAGAACGAGCCAACGAGUUACGGUAUGUAGCAAGGUUAAGUACUUAAGGUACGGAGCCGAAGGGAAACCGAGUCUUAAUAGGGCGACUAGUUGCAUGCCGUAGACCCGAAACCGGGUGACCUAUCCAUGGCCAGGUUGAAGCGAGGGUAAAACCUCGUGGAGGACCGAACCACGUUGCUGUUGAAAAAGCAUGGGAUGAGCUGUGGAUAGCGGAGAAAUUCCAAUCGAACCCGGAGAUAGCUGGUUCUCUCCGAAAUAGCUUUAGGGCUAGCGUCGAGUAUGAG
rnacentral:rRNA from 1 species